AUGGACCACGCGUCCACUGCGGUUGUGAGCGCACCGUCCGCGCCCACCUUGCGGCUCGCUAAGUUUUGCUAGAU
rnacentral:sRNA from 1 species